UCCUUUGGCUGUUGUCAAUCGAUAAACUGAAAUUCUUGCAGUGUUGUUUACUUUGGGGUGACAAUUUAGAGGAUUCUUGAUGUUAUAACUGUCUUUAUCAUAUUAAAAGCUGGUUAUCCGAAGUUAACAUGAGUAAUGCGUUAUUGCUAUUGUAUUCAGACGUGGUGAUUUAAGCGGCUCAGCUAUGAUGUAUUUAUGGUUUUUGGGGAAUGCAAGAUGGUGUUGUUCGUGUUAAAGGUCAAUGAUGACAGAUUGCGUACCGCCGGUGAGGCUUCUCAACGGAGUACCAAAGAGGAAUGGGCAGAGUGGAUGAGGCAUUUCAGCAUUGAACUUUUGAAAGAAUCACCCUAUUCCAGCAUUAAGAACUUGCACAAGGCUGGCUAAACUACUACAGCCUUCUUCUCCAAAUAUCCCUCCUGAAAUUCGUGCUACACUUCUGAAUUUGGUUAGU